rnacentral:lncRNA from 1 species
AAACGUAUGCCUUGCAUGUGCUCUUAGAAACGUGCGGCUGAGCUGCUGACGUCUACAAUCUACUUGUAUAGGGAAUGCUUUGGAAGCUGAAAUAUGUGGAUGAGAAGGCGUCACAUUCAUAUUUGAAGGUUGUGGGACCUUGCAGCCAAGUGAGUCAUAUGUGCUGACACUAUAAGAGCAUCUCUAAGAGUUUGGUAAAAUAAUUUCCUAUCUUAAUAUUUUAGCAAAAAGAGAAAAAAAAUUCCUCCAACAGUUUGAUAAAAUAACUCCUUAAAAAUAGAAACUUGUCAAAUAUCCUCUUCAACUCAUAAAUUUUCAAAGUCGAGAGAACUCACUAUCUCUCCUCCUUAGACCUGUUUUUACGCUAUUUCUCAUAUAGUCCUCUGGUCAGAUCGUCGCUGGUAU